UCGGGAAUUUUGGGCAAUGGGCGAAAGCCUGACCCAGCAACGCCGCGUGAGGGAUGAAGUAUUUCGGUAUGUAAACCUCGAAAGAAUGGGAAGAAUAAAUGACGGUACCAUUUAUAAGCUCCGGCUAACUACGUGCCAGCAGCCGCGGUAAUACGUAGGGAGCAAGCGUUGUUCGGAUUUACUGGGCGUAAAGGGCGCGUAGGCGGCGCGGUAAGUCACUUGUGAAAUCUCUGAGCUUAACUCAGAACGGCCAAGUGAUACUGCUGUGCUAGAGUGCGGAAGAGGCCACCGGAAUUCUUGGUGUAGCGGUGAAAUGCGUAGAUAUCAAGAGGAACACCUGAGGCAAAGGCGGGUUGCUGGGCCGACACUGACGCUGAUGCGCGAAAGCCAGGGGAGCAAACG
rnacentral:rRNA from 1 species